rnacentral:rRNA from 1 species
GCAAAACGCGAAGAACCUUACCCACCUUUGACAUGUACGGAAUCCUUUAGAGAUAGAGGAGUGCUCGAAAGAGAGCCGUAACACAGGUGCUGCAUGGCUGUCGUCAGCUCGUGUCGUGAGAUGUUGGGUUAAGUCCCGCAACGAGCGCAACCCUUGCCAUUAGUUGCUACAUUUAGUUGAGCACUCUAAUGGGACUGCCGGCGACAAACCGGAGGAAGGUGGGGAUGACGUCAAGUCCUCAUGGCCCUUAUAGGUGGGGCUACACACGUCAUACAAUGGCUGGUACAAAGGGUUGCCAACCCGCGAGGGGGAGCUAAUCCCAUAAAGCCAGUCGUAGUCCGGAUCGCAGUCUGCAACUCGACUGCGUGAAGUCGGAAUCGCUAGUAAUCGUGGAUCAGAAUGUCACGGUGAAUACGUUCCCGGGUCUUGUACACACCG